GACGAACGCUGGCGGCGUGCUUAACACAUGCAAGUCGAACGGAAAGGCCUGCUUUCCCUUGUGGCUUGCGGGUACUCGGGUGGCGAAUGGGUGAGUAACACGUGUGUGAUCUGCCCCCAACUUGGGUAUAAGCCUGGUAAACUGGGUCUAAUUCCCUAUAGGACUGCAGUGUGGUCGCUGUGGUUGAACACGUUGUUCUAGUGGUUGGGGAUGAGCUGGCGGCCUCUCAGCUGGUGGGUGGGGUAAUUGCCUACCACGGAGGCGACGGGUAGCCGGCCUGGGGGGGCGGACGUGAUCAGUGGGACUGAGAAACGGCCCAGGCUCCUACGGGCGGCAGCGGUGGGGACUAAGGGAAGAUGGGCGGAAGACUGAUGAAGCGACGCCGAGUGGGGGAUGACGGGCUGCGGGUUGUAAACUCCUGUCGGGGGAGAGGAGGCCACCUGGUUGGAAGGAUAGUGACGGUAGUGGUAGAAGAAGCACCGGCUAACUACGUG
rnacentral:rRNA from 1 species